rnacentral:rRNA from 1 species
UACGGGGGGGGCAAGCGUUGUUCGGAAUUACUGGGCGUAAAGGGCUCGUAGGCGGCCAACUAAGUCAGACGUGAAAUCCCUCAGCUUAACUGGGGAACUGCGUCUGAUACUGGAUGGCUUGGAUCCGGAAGAGGGAUGCGGAAUUCCAGGUGUAGCGGUGAAAUGCGUAGAUAUCUGGAGGAACACCGGUGGCGAAGGCGGCAUCCUGGGCCGGUAUUGACGCUGAGGCGCGAAAGCCAGGGGAGCAAACGGG